rnacentral:rRNA from 1 species
AUUGAACGCUGGCGGCAGGCCUAACACAUGCAAGUCGAACGGUAACAGGAAGAAGCUUGCUUCUUUGCUGACGAGUGGCGGACGGGUGAGUAAUGUCUGGGAAACUGCCUGAUGGAGGGGGAUAACUACUGGAAACGGUAGCUAAUACCGCAUAACGUCGCAAGACCAAAGAGGGGGACCUUCGGGCCUCUUGCCAUCGGAUGUGCCCAGAUGGGAUUAGCUAGUAGGUGGGGUAACGGCUCACCUAGGCGACGAUCCCUAGCUGGUCUGAGAGGAUGACCAGCCACACUGGAACUGAGACACGGUCCAGACUCCUACGGGAGGCAGCAGUGGGGAAUAUUGCACAAUGGGCGCAAGUCUGAUGCAGCCAUGCCGCGUGUAUGAAGAAGGCCUUCGUGUUGUAAAGUACUUUCAGCGGGGAGGAAGGGAGUAAAGUUAAUACCUUUGCUCAUUGACGUUACCCGCAGAAGAAGCACCGGCUAACUCCG